rnacentral:rRNA from 1 species
GACGAACGCUGGCGGCGUGCUUAACACAUGCAAGUCGAACGGAAAGGCCCUGCUUGCAGGGUACUCGAGUGGCGAACGGGCGAGUAACACGUGGGUGAUCUGCCCUGCACUUCGGGAUAAGCCUGGGAAACUGGGUCUAAUACCGGAUAGGAGCCAUUUUUAGUGUGAUGGUUGGAAAGUUUUUUCGGUGUAGGAUGAGCUCGCGGCCUAUCAGCUUGUUGGUGGGGUAAUGGCCUACCAAGGCGGCGACGGGUAGCCGGCCUGAGAGGGUGGACGGCCACAUUGGGACUGAGAUACGGCCCAGACUCCUACGGGAGGCAGCAGUGGGGAAUAUUGCACAAUGGGCGCAAGCCUGAUGCAGCGACGCCGCGUGGGGGAUGACGGCCUUCGGGUUGUAAACUCCUUUCGCUAGGGACGAAGCUUUUUGUGACGGUACCUAGAGAAGAAGCACCGGUUAACUACGUG